rnacentral:lncRNA from 1 species
GCACCUAGAUAGUAUAAAUAAUUUUAAAUAAUAUAUAGUAAAACAGUUUACAAUAAAUAAUGUAAGGAAAAGAAAAAUGAAGCUAAAAGGUUAAGGAUUAACUUGCAAUCAGAAUAAAACAUGAGGUACAAAUUAUGAAAUGCAAGAGAUUAAUAAAAUAUAAAUCAGGGCUUAAACGAAGGCGAGAAGAACGACGGGGGACUGAUCAGGAAAUUAUUCCAAGGCCACAAAACGCAUCGUUUCGACGCAGACCAAAAUGAAUCAAAGGCCGAAGUCAUGGGGCAAAAUUAAAAAUAAAAAGCAGAGGAAAGGGAUCCGAUUGAAGAAGGUAGAAAAAGCGGGGGGACUAAGGGCGUGAAUACCCCAAAAACAAUGAAAACAUGCGGAUCCCCUGGUUAACGGGUCGAGUCAGUCCAAUCCGCGUCAAAACGACGCUGUUUAGCGCCUGGGGUGCUGAUUUAAAACGACGCCGUUUCUUAUUGUUAUAAAAACUUAAAUUUUUUUUUUAAAACUCCCAUUUCAACCCUAACUUCUUAAAAAAAACCAAAAACUUUCCCCUUUUCUCUCAUUUCUCCCUUCUUCCCCGGCCAAACCCAGCAAGCCACCACCGUAGGAGGUGGCCGGAAGUGCCAAAAUCGGGUCUUUUCGAUCCCUUUUCAACCCCUUUUUUUUAUUUAAAAAAAAACAUCGAAUCCUUCGUUCAUUUAAAAAAAAUAAAGGACAAGAUUCGAGAAAAAAAAAACAAAUGGGGUUUCAACACCAUUCGGUCCCUCGCCCGAACCUCCACAUUUCCGAGGUAUUCGGGUUUUCAUCGGCGACGACUCAGGUAACCCCCUUUAUAUUUUCUCAUUUUUCGAAACUAAAGUCAAAAUCAAAACGAAAAUAAAAAAGGGAAUAGAAUAAAGCGCAACCUUUUCUGUUAAUUGCUUUUGUAUUUCAAAAAAUGCCUCCCUUCAAUACAAUUGAAGAUAUGGCUUUAUAGCCGAAAUAGAAACAAUACAAUAUUUUUUUAUCUCUUUUCUUCUUGUGCUAUUGUGCUCUGCUACUAUUUUUGUAUGCUUUGCAGGUACAAGGCCAGCUGAGGCGUACGGAGGGAGCGACGUGGCGUGCGGUGGUGCGUGAAGCCCGUACGAAGGUGCGCUGGAGCAAAGGGAACCUUAGGGUUCCUGAAGAUUGUUUGACCUUUGGGCCAAUCGGGCUGAUGAAUUUUGGGUCUUGGUUUAUUUGAUUUGGGCUUGUAUUGGGUUUGGGUUUAGUUUGUAAAAUUUUGGGUUUAAUGGACUGUUAAAAACUUGAAAUUUUUAUUUAUUUUGUGCUUUUGGUUUUUGUUAGUUUGGGCCCGGGCCAAAAUUGAGCUCUACAGUGUGGAGAACCUAUAGUAAUGUUUAUGAUUUAUGAAGAUGCAAAGGGAUCAGCCAAAACUUAGGCAAGGUGUUGGUAUAUGAAUAGAGGUUACACUUUUCUUAAUGGUAGGAAGAGCUUAUACAAGCUCUAGGAUUCUUCAUUAUAUAUAAUGGUUACCAAAAUUAUAAUUAAAAAAAUUUAAUUAAACGUACUCAACACAUUUAAAAUUUCAGUCAACAAGGCCUUAGAAGAGUCAGUUGAGGUUGGUAUUUUAGACUCUUAAAUUUUUCUA